rnacentral:lncRNA from 1 species
CUGGGAUUUUAAGUUUUUUUUGGUAGUUACAGGUCACAAAGCACAAGGAGUAAAAUAGACUUUUAAUGUGGAGCGAUUUUAGAAUUUGGUAUGUUUGUCUUGUAAGCUUAAUAGCCAUAAAAGAAAACAAAAUUGCCACACAAAAGUAUAUAUUUAUAUAAAGUAGACAUCACGGGCUAUUUACCUAAGGUUGUUUUGACACUUUCUACGUAGCCAUUUCACCGCCAAUCUCUGCUAAAUAUUGGAGUAAAAUUGUG